UAUAUGUAUGCGUUUUGCUGCUAUAUUGAUUAAUUUUAUAAGCUAAUAUAUAGUGCAAAUAUGUCAAGUACAUUUGUAUGAAUUGUAUAUUUUGUAUAGGUUAUGUAUUAAUUUGUAUAUAAUGUAUAUAUGUAUUGGGUAUUUCGUUUUAUUUGCAUAGUUUUCUUUAUCACUUUUAAAUAAUUUUACAGUUUACUUGUCACCAGCAGGAAAAGGCACAGGACAUAAAUUCACCAGGGAUGGGACACGAGUCCAUCACAGGAGUCCUUACUGACACCCUCACACAGUGCAGUAUUUCUGAGAUGUAAGAGCAAAGUGACACCUCUCCACCAGCAGGGUUUUGCAUCCUGUUGUCCUAACAGCUACUCAUCUCCAGGUCAUGGCUCAGAAAGUUGAGGGCGCUGAGAGAACAAUGAGAGAUCAGAGCAAGGAUUGUGGGAGAAAUCCAGGCUGGUGCCAGUGUGUCUGGGAGUCUUCUUUGCUCUCUCAUCUAGCCUUUGUUCAGCUGCAAAAGCUAUCAGCACUUCCUACUGACAUCAACAAUAACUCCACAGAACUGGGCCCUUUUAAUCUUGUUUACAGCACAUCAAGGCGGAAAAAAAAGUGAAACAUAUUAGCUCCUGAUUUUAACGGACAGUGAAGAACUACCCCCUACGGGUCAGCCCUUUUACAAUGGUUAAUUAGAAAAGUUUAGAUUAUUCGUGGUGAGGUUUAAAUGAGCAAUUAACUGAUGUGUAAGAAAAUGAUCCUUGUGUUUCCCCAUCAGUGACCCUUCAUUCUCAUUUUAUUGCAACUGGAUGAAAUUAAAAUGAACAUUGCAAUGUUGGAAUAAUUCAAACCACACUGUGCCAGCUGUGAAUAUUUUAGCCUUAGAGACCAAUAAUGCAUAUUGCAGCCGUUACUGCCUCGCAUUAUAGCAAGGGGGUGAAGGGAAAGCCAUAAUUGCUUCUGUUAUCUGCCUAGGGUUGUGAUGUUUAAGUGCAAUCUUAAGAGAUUUAAUGACAUGCUUCAUUGUGAAGAAAGCCAUUCUGUGUUGUACUUUUUAUUUUAAAAUCUUGUAAAUCAUUCUUAAAAUUAAUCAAAAUAUGUUGCUAGAAUGCUAUUCUUUUUCACAGUUUUUAUAAAUAAUUUGCUGCAUUAAAUGCUUGAACUGUU